AUUGAACGCUGGCGGCAUGCCUUACACAUGCAAGUCGAACGGCAGCGGACCUUCGGGUGCCGGCGAGUGGCGAACGGGUGAGUAAUAUAUCGGAACGUACCUUUCAGUGGGGGAGUAACGUAGCGAAAGUUAACGCUAAUACCGCAUAUUCUGUGAGCAGGAAAGCAGGGGAGUCGCAAGACCUUGCGCUGAUUGAGCGGCCGAUAUCAGAUUAGCUAGUUGGUGAGGUAAAGGACUCACCAAGGCGACGAUCUGUAGCGGGUCGUGAGAGGAUGAUCCGCCACACUGGAACUGAGACACGGUCCAGACUCCUACGGGAGGGCAGCAGUGGGGAAGUUUUGGUACAAUGGGCGGCAAGACCUGAUCCAGCCA
rnacentral:rRNA from 1 species